rnacentral:rRNA from 1 species
GCUCAGGAUGAACGCUGGCGGCGUGCCUAACACAUGCAAGUCGAGCGAAGCGGUUUUAAGGAAGUUUUCGGAUGGAAUUAAAACUGACUGAGCGGCGGACGGGUGAGUAACGCGUGGGUAACCUGCCUCAUACAGGGGGAUAACAGUUAGAAAUGGCUGCUAAUACCGCAUAAGCACACAGCUUCGCAUGGAGCAGUGUGAAAAACUCCGGUGGUAUGAGAUGGACCCGCGUCUGAUUAGCUAGUUGGUAAGGUAACGGCUUACCAAGGCGACGAUCAGUAGCCGACCUGAGAGGGUGACCGGCCACAUUGGGACUGAGACACGGCCCAAACUCCUACGGGAGGCAGCAGUA